rnacentral:sRNA from 1 species
CUCUGAAUUCUUUUCCACGAACUUCUCCGAAAUUAUGAAUUCUUAAUUUCUUAAUAUGUGAUGGCAAACUAAUUUGCAUGAUCUGCGAUCUCAGAUAGCGCUGAUGCCGUCGACAGCUUACAGCUGUCGGAGUUGUUCACAUUGUGGGACUGGGCAAUAAUAAUAACGUCUAUAGUAUUAUUCACCGAAUCCCUGCAGCAGGUGGCUACUGGUAUUAUCAUUAUUAUUGUCAUUUGUCAAAUCAGCCAAAGCAAAAGAGAAAGAAAAAAACCAUAUUUUUUUUUAGCUGUUUGUUUUGUUUUAAAGGUGAAUUCCUCUGUCGCUUUGAGUUAUGACCAUUUUGCAUAAAUUAAGCGAGGGCUUUAUUUUGUUUUAAAAAUUAUAAAACGAAGAAAAAAUGUUCACACUCAAAUCAGACAGUAUUUCAUAAUGGAUUUUUGACAGUGGAUGAUUUAUGUGGAACAAAGGGAGAUAAAUAACGAUUUAGACUUGAGAUGAAUUCGCAAUUAAAUAAUUAAGUUGCUAUCUAAAUUAUUCAGCAACGGUCCAGGCACUGCUUAACUCCAAAUUUGUUUUAAAUGGUUUAAAAUGUCAAUUUAAAAUUUCAUUUAAAAUGAUCCUCGCGCACCAACUGAGUUUUUCGAAUUUUGAUAUUCGAUUAACAAAAUAAGGUCAGAUAUUUAAUUCAGUUUUAUUGCUUAUGAAAAAAAUAUCAGUUUUUGCUGAAGGGUAUUCGUUAGUCACCUUAAUGCCCCAAGACACAAAGCAAAUUAUCUUCAAAUUUAAACUUGAUGAUUAGCAAAGUUUUAUUGAUUUAUCAAAGUAUUAGUUUUGAAGACUUGUCACAAAUUCCGAAUCUAAAACCGUUUCAAGGUAGGGAUUUUAUCAUCACUGUGGAUUUGCAUAUAAUUUGCGGUUCACUUUGGUUCAGUUUCGUUUGGUUGUUUCAUUAAAAAGUUAUAAAACUUCAUCAAUUAACAUACAUAAAAAAAGGGGUGAGACAAAAAACAGAACCCGUAAUAGAACAUGGAAUAAUAAAACUGGCUUUUAUGUGGGUUUUUUGUUUGAUUUUUAUGUGAUUUAAAUGAACACCACAUUGAAAUUGGGCAGUGGGAUGGGGGUCGGAAUUUUAGCAAAUAUAUACAUAUAUACCAACAAAAAAAAUUGGCACACGAGACAACGCUUGAGUGAUUUUUAAUGUAUUCGUGACAAUAAUUUUUGGGCGCUGCUGAUAUGGGGUAUACGUUUGGUGGUUUGGGGAAGGGGUUUGGGGUCUUUUUUUUUUUUUUGGCUGAAUGAGUUGGUGGGUGGGUGGCUGGUAAAGGGGUGCCAGAAGCACCAUAAAACGUAUUAUACUGUCGUUUUAUUUGCGUUUUAUUAUUGUUUAAUUAGUCCCUGGCAUUCAACUAUGAAUGCCAAACUUUGUUUGUUUGCUUUGAACAGUAGCAUCCUCCAGCCCCCAACCCAUUUUGUAGCAACCCCCUUCCCGCUUUUUUUCAACCCAAUCCCCCCACACACCCCACAAACAGAGAGAAUUUCUAUCAUAAAGCCAGUUUAUUGUUCUAGGGCGGCAAAUUUCAAAUGCAAACGUAGGGGGAUAUUGCGAAAAGAAGAAAAUGCGAAGAGAGCUCCACAAUGUGGGCAGAGUGACAUUUCAGGGGAAAAAAGAAAACAAAAACUGAGACUGUUUCCAAUGGGUCGUAGGUUGAGGUUGUCGUGUGGGCGAGGGCGAUAAACAAACUGGAAGUGCAAACACCGACUGCGAAAAGUUGAUGAAUAGUCUAACCCGAGUGUGAGCUAAGGAAAAAACAAAUACAGAAAUAUUUAAAGGUUUGUUAAAAAUCCACCAUUUUAACUUCAAGAGAUAAUAGGGUCGUAAAAAGUGAUUCUUAUUGAUCGCUUUAACAAACACUCGCUCACAACACUAUUGGUUGUCCUUUCAAAUAUAUUAGUAUUCAUUUUAAUUUAUGAUUUUCCUGCCUAUUAGAUACCUCUUAAAAAUAGCUUUGAACGUCUUGAGGUCUUUAGCUUUUGACAUACAAAUGCGACCUUAUUAUAAUUGAUAACUUUAAUAAGUCAGCAUCAAAAAGGCCUACAAAAAUAUGGCUAUUUCCACUCACUGUCUUCUUGGCAACUGGCACCUUCAAGUGCACUUAUUUAAGCCAACUUUCAAUGAUUCAAUUUUAGCACUUUCGUCUCCGACUCGGCUUUUAGUUGCCCACUUCUCGAGCUCUCUGCCCCCGGAGACAUAUAUUUUGUACCUGAUGCACCUGCCAUUCCACCUGCCAAGCGAAUGACGCGCUUUGCAAUUUGAGCACUCAAAGGUAGCAAAUUGAAUGAAAAAUAAAGCGGGAAAAUAUUUACGAUGACAUGGCAGGCAGAGGUAUUUCCGCUCAGCUCCACCUGCACCUCCAAACUCAAUUUUCUAUUCAAAUUGCCCCGCUGCGAUAGAUAAUGCAAGCCGCUGAGCGAAGGAAAAUCGGCAAAAGGCAAAAAAAAAGGCAAGGCAAACGGGAAAAAUCGCACAAGUUCAAGGUCUAUGUCAGUGGCAUUGUCGUGCUCUGUGAUUAUAUUUGUAUCUGCAUCUACGUUUUGUAUCUGCAUGUUUUGUAUGGCAACGACUGCAGCUGAAACAGCUGCGAUUGCGACUGCCAUUGCCAAUUAGAUCUGUCUGAAAUUUGUCUCAUUAGCCAGAGAUUAAUCUAAUGCAUUCGAAUUUGACGUUACAUUUAGCCCACUGCGUAGGCGGUUGGCUCACCUGAGAAUCUUGCCAAAAGUUAACCAUAGGAACGAUGAAAAGCAAAGGGGUAAGGGGGUUUUAAAAACCAAAGAUUCUGCGAAUCAAUUGUUUCAGAAUUAUCGCGAAGAAAUGCCUUAGAAUGCGAAGUGAUCCACAUUAUUAUCUUGAAUUUUGUAUUCCUAGUAAAUUGUGGAUCUACGGAUACGGUUUAAUAUAUAUGUAUAUAUUAGGCUGUGGCUUUUUAUCUUAUUGUUUUUAAAUGUGAAAUUACAUUUCCAUGAUGUUUAGGAAAUCACAGCCCGUUUUAAAGCCCCCUCAAAAUGAGUCAAGAUAGCUCUUAAUCAUACGACUUAAACUAUAAUUUCAUCAGGAAAUGAAAAGAAUUCAUUUAGAAAUUCCAUUUGUAUAUGCGUAAAUGUUAAAAAAUUUAAUAUAAAAUUUUAAAUAAAGAAUUUAAGAUAGUAAAACCUUUAGCUUUCUAUAAAAUCAACAAUUUUACAAACUUUGCUUUUAUUUUCACUUUUUUUCAGACAAUAUGUCGCAUUAAGGAAACGAUUUCCACGUUAUCCCUUAUGGGGAUUGGGCACCCAUAUUUUCAGAGGCCGAGUCAGAUUGCAAUCCCUGCAAUUUGAACAAGGGUGUGUUUACUUUCGGCUACCCCUUUGAUUGCCCGAUUGCGUGGGCCGGGCCAAUGUCUUUUGGACAUGUUUGUCGCGACCGCGAUUCGAUAUCAGUUGUACUGGCGGAGAUAAGCCAUAAAUAAACGGAGGGAAAGAAAACAUUUCACAGAAACAAAAAACAAAAAAAAAUGGUAUUCAUAUCUAUGUGGUUUACCUGUACAUCGAAAAACCGGUUCGCAGAUUCUUUUCACCUGGGCGAACUGCCAAUCUGGGAGACGAGGUAAAAGUGCCAAAAUGUAUAUCGUUUUAAUGGGUUCUCUAUGUGAGGCCGAGACUGUGUGUAGUGCAAUCAGAAAGCAUAAUCGAGGCAAUCGACCAUGAAACUGAGCAACAACUACGCAAACUAUCUAUAAGAUACAUUUCCCAUCGCACAGCCAAUUGUGGCCAGGAAGGGGGGAAAAGUUUAUACAGAACUUCCUGUUGCUAAAAUUUACAACGGAACGUUUUCAACAUUGAAUUCGAAUAUUGGCAAAUAUUGGUUGGAUUUCAAAGCUUUUGAACGCGCGACGGCGACGAACACAACUGAGUUAUGAAAACUGAAUGAAAAGCACAAAGCAGAGCAAAGUAAACUUGUUUGCCGCCUGCCCACCCCCAACAAAGGCAGGGAAAGAGCGAGCAAUAUGAAGAGAGAGAGAAACAUCAAUAUUGGCGCUUUUUAGCAUUUUGACUUAACAACACUGGCAGUGAGAACGAGGCAUUACCAUCUGGUAAAAAAGCUUUCAAAACUUGUUGCUCUUGUCUCUUUUGUUUUUCUCUUUCCCAAAAAUAUAAGAAACCGACACUUUAAAGAUAUAUUAACGAAUAUCGAAAAUAAUUGGAGUCUUAAAUUGUUCGAACUCGUAGUAUUCGUAUAUUUUAUACAGAUUAGAGUAUAUCCCUUACAGUUUUCGAUUUACCCCUCUCUUUCUCUUCUUAAUGCCCCUCUCUUUCUCGCACACCAAAACCGCUGCAAAUUUGAAUUAAUGGUUCACCCUGUUGCUUUUUAUCUUUUAAUUGAGCUGAGCUGCAAUUCAAGUGGACCGUGUGAGAUCUACGAGCUCUGGGGUUUUCCCCGCUUCGGGAAAGAAAAUCAUCUUAAUUGAAUUCAUUCAUAAAUUGCAGCUUUGAACUGGACCAACAAGUCUCUAUCUGCACUGAUCCUAUAAACAGACCGAAGGGGCGCCGAAAGAUAUCUUAACAUUGCCCCAAGAUGAGGAAUAGUCGGCGCAAGAGUAAAUCCCCCAAACCACGGCAUGAUCGCCUGCUACACCGCAGUCCGUCCGUUUGUCCGCUCAUCUGUCCGUUCGUCGGACAGUCCGUUCCCCCAAUUGACGUCAACGGCGCCGACUAAAGUCAGUGAGGCAGGCCGUAAGAGGCACGUACUGGAAAUCAAAUGAUGUAGUUUCUACAUUAUAUAGACAAAGGCGACGUCGGCAAUGGAAAGCAGGGUACAGAAAUAAAACAUUCGGUUCCACUUUAGAACGAGACGAAGAGCAACGCACAAAAUCCAACAAAGAUCCAGAUAUUGGCUAUAUAAGCGAAUACAAUUAUAUUUUUAGAGGAGAUACAAGAAAUCUUUUAUCAAUUUAAGAGAAUUUUACUCAGAUACUUUCUUGGCCCAGGUCGAGAGUGCGAAUUGGCAGAUGUUUCGUUGCGUCUGGAAUCGUUCAAUAUCAAUAGAUAUAUCUGGGCUAACCACUUUAAAUGGGCAACUGGAAAUCCCCGGGCCAACUGCAGUUGACGCAUUUCCAGUCGACGCAUUUGUGUCUUAAUAAACAAAAGCCGCAUGAAAUUUAUUAUAAACAAAUAGCUUGCUAUCGUUCGAUCUAUGUGCCGGCAAUUUUAAUGGUUUGUGUUGUUUGGUUCUCUGAAUUUGCCAACGAAAAUGAGCAGAAAACGUGUUUGAAAAGUGGAAAAUUAAUGUUUAUUUUUAAUAGAUUGGAACUAUUUAAAGUGUGGCACUACGCACCAAACUGCGUUUUAAUUUUCAGCUUCAGUUCGUUUUAUGACCGCAUAUUUAAAGUUUGAAAUGACAUUUACAACCUGCGCUGGCCUUUAAAAAUGGUUAUAAAUGCAUUUGGAUUUUGUGAAAGCUGAGAACAUAUCUUUUUUAAACAAACCUAAUUUUAUAAUAUACUGUAAAAAUCAAGUAACGACAAAUAUGAAAUAAAUUGGCACUUCCUGUUUUCACUCGCAAUUUUUUAUCAAAGCGACGUUUUAGAAAUAAUACUUCCAGAUUUUGCAUCCGGUUGUUUUGUUAUAACAUUGUAAAUUUUUAGACACAUAAUAUACCACUGCAGUUUCUAGGAAUCCUACACAUAGUGCAUUCGAAGUCAUUAACAAAUUUAGACGUCUUGUUUGCGUUCUUUUUCUUUCAAACAAAAGAAGAAACCCAGGUCCCAAUGCCAUUGCGUCAGAGAAGCAAUCAUAAAAUCAUGUUUUUAUAUAGGUAGUAAAGGUGGCCAUUGAAAUGAGCAUUCUUGGUCUUUCGGGCCGCCUUUCACUGACCCAUUAGGAGGAGAUCGCUCGCCGUCGUCUGGUUGCUCAUUUUCUACCGGCGACGGCGCCUCGGGGUUAAUGUACCCUGUGACCCAAACACUUAACACAAAACCCUUGACUCUGCGGCACAAUUGGGCCUUCAUUGAGGCAGUUUUUGGACGGAAUUGAUUGAC